GACAGAGGAGCCAAGCGUUGUCCGGACUGACUGGGCGUAAAGGGCACGUAGGCGGUGCGGUAAGUGGGGUGUGAAAGCAGUCGGCUCAACCGGCUGAGGCCAUGCCAGACUGCCGCGCUCGAGCGCUGCAGAGGGUGGUGGAAUUGCCGGUGUAGUGGUGAAAUGCGUAGAGAUCGGCAGGAACACCAAGGGGGAAGCCAGCCACCUGGGCAGCCGCUGACGCUGAAGUGCGAAAGCGUGGGGAGCGAACUGG
rnacentral:rRNA from 1 species